AGAGAAUGUGCAUGUACUAACCUAACGAAACUAAGACUCAAAGACAUGCUUGGGAAGGAACAAAUUGUAAACUGGCAUUGUACCCUCGAAGACAACUUUAUGUCAUGUAGUUCAAAUAUUUAAAUAUAAUGUUUAUGAUAGUGCAAUCACUCCCUCAGCCCCAAGCAUUUUUCCUGCAUUAGAUGAUAUUCAUGACAGGUGAACAACAAGAAAUAUGUUCUUUCAAGGAAAGAAAUUAUUCUCACCCAGAAGGACCACCACGUCCUGCAGAAUAAGCUCCAUGAGCACCAGUAGUACUACCAAUCUACAAAUAAUAUUUAAGAAUCAUAAUUAUUAACUAUCAGCAUAGAGAUAGAGAGAGAGAUUGGGACAAUGUAAACAAAAUGAGAAAGCUAAACUAUUAUAAGAAGCCAAAUAAGAAAUAAAUAUUGAAGGGAAUAAGGAUUUAAGGGACUAAAAAUUAUUUUCACUUGAUAAAUGGGAUAACUAAGUCCAACAAACUAUAUUUCUACAAUUCACCCACCUAAAGAACAGUAAAAUAGUAAAAGUUGUCAAAAGGAAAUACCUGGAGACCACCAUAACUUCCAUAGCUGUCACUAGAAGAUAAAUCACUAGAGCCAUAACCACCAGAAAAGGAGUGCACACGUCCAUGCCUCUUGCCCUCUCUACUUUCAUAACUUAAAUUGUCGGUUCCUUCAGUUGGCACAUGAAGAUACGGUAAAACUGGCACUAACGCAUUAACAGCACCUUCCCUAUCAAAUAGGUUUGCUCUUAACCGUGUUGUUAUUUGUACAAGGGCAUCCUUUGCAACAUCAAGGUCUCCAGCAAUCUGAAUAAUAACAGACCAACCAUGUUCCGUUCGUAUAAUAUUUUUUUUAAAAAAAAGAGCCAACAAAUAGAAAGCAAUGAUUAAGAAAAUCCUAUAUAAAUGAUAGAACACCUGAACCAUCUCAUCAUCUUCAGAUGCAAUUUUUGGAAGAUUCUCCUUUGACAGGAUACGGAUAUUAGCUUUUGUGAUCCUUCUCAUCUCCGUUACAAUAGCUCCUCCUUUACCAAUAAGGCAACCAAUACGUGAGGUAGGCACAAAUAAGCGGGUUGUGAAUGAUACAAUUCCAGAGUCUCCUUCAACCUUCUCACUGCAUCUAGGUUGCAACCGUGCAGCAGCUUCGAUAGAAGGUGAAUACCAAUCCUCAAAGAACUAAUGCAGCAGAAGAUUAGGAACCCCGUCAAAAAGCAUAGCAUAGAUACUUCCACAAGACAAAUAAACAUAGCAAAGAUGAAAAGCUGACCUCCUUAGCUGAUAUAGUUAUUAAGCAAUCAUCUCCAUCUGUAGUUGAGCUAUCUACUUUGAUGGCUGCACCUGAUUCCUGCCUGAUCUGGUUGAUUAUAGCACCACCUUUGCCAAUCACACCUCCAAUAUUAGCAGUUGGACAAACCAAACGAAGAGAAAAUUCUUUUGAUGACAUCUCAUCCCUUGGAGCUGAGUACAUGGAGCGUGGCCAUUCUCCAGUGUCACCUUUGUAUCGUCCAUAAGGUCCAACCAAUGAAGUUACCCCUACAAUCCGGGCACCAGCAGCUGGACCAAGCAUUGCACCAGCAGCAGGAUAUGCAUUUGACACAGCAGAAGCAAGCAAGUGCUGAGAUCGUGAAGGGUUCUCAUGAAGGCGAGAUGCAAUUUGAUGCAGAGCCUUUUUCACAACUGCAGCUUCCCCAGAUAUCUAAAGCCAAAAGUAAAUUAAAAUAUAAAAAGGCCAACCAUCUGAUAACAUUAUUAAUAUUAAAAAAAAAAAACUAACAAUAUUACAGAAAACAAACAAAAGAAGGUGAAAUUUUCAGGAAAAAACACAUAAAAAAAAUAACAUAUUAAAAGCAUGCCAAAAACAGUCUCAAAAGAUAUAAUUCAUAAACUGAAGAAAUCAAAGGCGAAAAAUUAAAUGCUGAUUUUGUCAACUACAGCAAUCAAAUAAACAAAAUCUUUGUCCAAUGUUGACCCUAAACACAAGAAAAGCCUCUUGCCAAUGCUUUCAAUAAAUUGAAACUCAUCUCAGCAUAACUUUUUACCAUGUCGGUGUAUGGGCGUAAACUAUGUUUUAAAGGAGAGAAGAGAUUGUUAAAUGAAUAAGGAAAAUCUAAAAGUACUACAACAAUAAUCAAUUAGUCAAAUAACCUGUACAAGUUCAUCUGUGGACAAGGCACAAGAAGGUAAAUCGUCCUUAAGAAUGCGAAUCUGAGCACCAGUUUCACUACGUAUGUUCUGAACGAUCUGUCCACCCUUUCCUAUAACACAUCCAAUCUGAUCAGAAGAUAUAAGAAGCCGAGCAGUAAUUUGGCGGCCUUCAGAAUCUUCAUCACUGUGCAAAUCUUCUGCAACAACUCUGUCAUGCACCCUGAAUAAAGCAUCUUGAGCAGGAGAAACAAAAGAAUCCCCAUCUUCAAGGGCAUUUCUCUCAUCUCUAGAGCUAUAGAUAGUAACCACGCGUUCAUCAGAACCAGGAAUUGUCUCACCAAUUCUAAUCUUUGAUUUAGUGUCUGCUCUUAAUUGCUUAACAAUCUCCCCUCCCCUUCCAAUAAUGCUUCCUAUCUUUCUUGCAGGGCACAAAUACCUAUAAACGGUAUCAUCUGAAUCAAUAACAAAUUGUUCCCUGUCAUCACCUGCAUUUCUCCUCUUAUUUGAUCCAUUCUCAGAAUAGUCAGACUGAGAAUGAGACCGCUUCCCAUAGCUAUUCCUCUGACCCGCCAUUAUUAUCAACAAAAAUAAAUACCUGGUUCCAAGACAAUAGUAAAACAUUACAAAUACUAAUUGAACCAAUCUUGAGGAUCGAACCACCCAAAAUGUAAAGCACCAGCACAAAAUGCUCAUCAACAGAACAAAUCAAUAACUAAAUUAUUUUCAUUUUUCAAUCAUCAAAGCAUAAUUCAGAUAACAUUAUAUCUCCACUUAAAUUUAAUUGUUGGUUUGAGUUUCUUAAUGAACAGUAAAACGCGCAUAAAAUUUAUGAUUGAACAAACACUAGAUUCCAACCAUGAUAGCAAAACUAUCAAUAACAACAAUGAAAACAAAACAGUUAGCUCUCUACAGCUCAGCUUUACAACUAGGCAAAUUCAAAGAUAAAUCACUAACUGUAUCUCAACUUUGACCCACAAGUUUAUCUUCCAUAACAAAUUAAAAUCCCACUUCAAAUCACCCCUCCAAAAUUAAUAUAACAGACAAUAGAGGGAAACCAAAUAUUAGAAAGAUUCAGUUACGUAAAAGAAAAAAAAAUUCAAAUCAACCCACAAAUUUAAACAGCAUAAAUAUAAAUAGUCUCCGAAAACUAACACAAAACACAUUAGAUUCAAUAAAGAAACUAUAAUUCCUCUCAUCAAAUACAGAAAGGACGAUAAUUCCAGUCAAAAAUGAAUUUAAAAUGAAAACAAGAGCAGAAAAUGUAGAUUGUAGAUCUGAUUAAAAGAGAAUUUUAAAAAAGCAAGAGCAAUCAGAGGGGAAUUAAUUGCCAAAAGAUAAUGGGGUUUUACCUGAGAAUUGAGAUUGAUUCUCAGCGUCUAAACAAUGAGAUUUUCAACAAGAAAAAAAAAAAAGAAAAAAACAAGGACUAAAGACAGAAUUUGGGGGCGAAAGAUAUUUUGCUUUCAUGAGCUCUUUUGAUUUCUAACUUGUUGGAAAUGAUUAGUUUUUGUAUUUUUCAUUUUUCUAUUUAAUUCGUGCUGAAUGGAUUUAUAAAUAAGAUUUUUAUUACUAUAUGGAUAUUAAUUUUUUAGUCAAGGGUGUUUAGUUCGAGUCGUGUUAUUCGUAUUAUUUGUUCAAGCUUUAUCCUGUUAUUAUAAUUCAUUAAAAAUAAAAAAUUAACUUUUAUAAUAAAAUAUUUUCUCUCAUCAAAUAUGUGUAUAGAUAAUGUCUGAUGAAUCUACAAAUCAACUCAAUAUUUAAUUUUUUUAAAAUAAAAUUUCAAUAUGGAAUUUUAUUUUCACUAACUUGAUAACUUUUGAUAUGUAAUAGAAAACUAGAAAUAUGAUGAUAAAUAAUUACAGUGUAUUUAAUAUUCUUAAUAUGAUAUAUUUACUUAUUUCAAUUUUCUUUUACUCAUAAGUUAAACUAUUUUUUAUUUUAAUUUCGUACAUAAUGCAUAUAUGUUCUUAUUAUUAUUAGCUUUAAACUAUACGUUUUAUAAUUUAUUAUAUGUUAUUUUUAAACACAUACUUGUGUUUUAAAUAUAACACAUAUACAUGUAAUAGAAUUUCUAGUUAAAAAUAAAAUACAUAUAUGUAAAAAAACCAUUAAAAAGGUAAAAAAAAAUCAAUUAAACCCUUGUAUUAAAUUCACAUCCAAUUAAGCCUUUGUCAUUAAUUAAGAUAAUCAAUUAAGCUCAAAUUUACAUUUUAUUCAUUUUAGUUCCUAAUGUACGAAACUAUUAAUUAAGCUUAACAAUUUACUCUUUUUUUUAUAUCUAAACUUAAAUAUAUCAAUUUAACACCUAAAACUUUCAAUUCUCAAUUAUGGAAAAUUUUUAAAAAAUUAACAGUUUUGUAAAUUCAUACAUAGGCUAGCUAGAUUAAGCUCUCGCGAUCUAAAAAAUAUAAAAAUUAUAAGAAAAUGACUAAAUUGUACUAAAAAAUAUUGUUGAAUAAAAACUUGAUAUUCGACUAUGGCGUUUUCUCCUUUAAUUUCUCUCAAUUUCGGUGGGGAAGAAGAUGUUUUAUCUUUCUUCCCACCAAUUCUAUAAUAUAUACAUAUAUUACCCUUAUACUUAGUUUUAAUUAAUUAUGUUUACCUUUAAUUAAUAAAUUUUAAGCAUAAUCAUGUUAUAUUGUCCACUAGUUAAAAUUUAAGUCGUAAAGUUAUUUUCUAAUUGAAAAUCUAUAGUGAUUGAAUUUUACAAUUUAGUCCCUAGGCCUUAAUUAAACAUAAUUUUAGCUAAAUUACUUAUCCAAAAUUCAAUCCACUUAUAUAAUAACUCGAUAAUUAUUUAAUAAAAAUAUUUACAGGUUCAAUUUACAGAAACAAUGUCCCGAAAUCGUAUUUUCUGACACCAUGAACUUUCAGGUCGUUACAUUUCUAACUUGAAAGGGCAUGUUAAAAAAUUAACUGAGAAGGUGCAAACUCUAAAAAGUUAGUUGAAAGAGAAGGUCAAAAAGAUUGAAGAUUUGACAGUCGAGUUUUUUUAAGGAAGAAGAGUCUUAUGCUGUUGGUAAAGCCUUGUUUACCUUGGCUCAAGGGAAGUUGUUGGACUCAUUUCAGGACUAACUGGUCUUAGCCCUUCAAGUUGUCCAUGGUCCUUUUGACUACCGGUAGUUGAACUUGGCAGCUCUACUGGAAAAGGACUUUGAUUCAUUAAGCUUCAAUCUGAACGAUUCAGAUCUUGACAAUGAUAAAUGGCAAGAGUUUCAAGAGCGACUCCAAAUUCCUUUGACUGCUCCGAAGGAGACGCCUUCUGCUGAGACAACAACAAGAAAUGCCUCUACUGAAGGUGAUCAAGUAGGUAGGGAGUCGGAUGGUGGUUUUUUAAAAGAUACAGAUCCCUCUACUGCUAAUGUUACUUUCAAGAAGAAUAAUGUUAACCUUGCUGAGAAUAAUACUUGUAAUACUAGGCAUAAAUCCCUUGUUGAUGUUAAAUGACUUUUUUUCUCUUAAUCAAUAAAAUUACAUUUUCCUUCCAUUCCAUUUCUGUUUCGUUGUUUAUUUAUUCUUAGGAGAGUUUCUUUCAAAGUAAUUAAGUGUAAUGACCAUUCAUUAUUACUAUGACGCUUUCAUUGACAAAUGCUAAUACCUGCAAGUUUGCUAACUUUGAGAGAAAUAAGAUAUUGUGUCGUCAAAUUUCUUGUCAUUUAGAAGGAUUGGAGUGUACGAAAGCUUUUCUAUUAACAUCUUCUAAUGAAGGAAUUACUUCUUUUACUUUCUUGAUAGAAAUAUUCGUUGUGAUUAUUUAUCUUGGGUAAAAUCUUUCGAAUGACCCUACCACUAAACCAAUUUACCAGGACUUUAAACUUGUAUUAUUGGCGUAUUCUUUUCUAAUAGCGCUAAUGUUUUCUUUGUGAAACAUCCUUUUCUAGGGUCAUUUCUUGAGUAGAGCAUUUUAGAAAGUCCUGAUCCCACACAUAUAGGGAGGCUUACGAGAGGUCCUACUCUCAGCACAUAAGGAGAUACUUAUGGGAGGUCCUGCUCCUAAUAUAUGGAGGGCACUUAUGAGGGGUCCUGCUCCCAACACAUAGGGGGCUUAUGGGAGGUCCUGCUCCCAACACAAAGGGGGAGGCUUAUGAGAGGUCUUGCUUCCAACACAUGAGGGAGGCUUAGAGAGAUCUUGCUCCCAACACAUGGCGGAGGCUUGCAAGAGAAAUAUGGGUGUUUUAUGACGCAUGGUGCUAUAUAAAAAGCAAUGUGUGAAUGGAAAGUCAUGGUAUUUUAUUAUUUGUUUUUUUUGUACAUAACUUGUAAAAAAGGAGAACAAAAACAAUUAUAAAUUUGAAAAACAUACUUUUCAUUUAAGUAUAAAAUCUGCGAAGGUUAUGAGCAAUCGAUGUUCAUGGUAUAGCUAUUCCAUUCAUCUGUUCUAAUCAGUAUUAUCCAAAGUCGAUAAAUACAGCUACCUGGUAUGGUUUUUUCCUUGGGUAGACAUUUUCCCUUUGUUCCCUCUAGUUGACUUGCAUCUGUGUUCUUCAUAACCAAGUCUCCUACCAGAAACUCCCACCUAUGCACCUUGAAGUUGCAGUAUUUUCCCACCUAUUGAGCUCUAACUACUAGGCAGAGGGUUGCUUAAUUUCUGGUUUCUUCUAGGAGAUUUAAGUUCUUUCAGAGCAUAACUUCGUUAGCUUGGGAGGUAUAAUGCAACAUACAAUGGAUGUUGGGGCCAAUUUCUAUAGGUAUCACCGUUUCAGUCUCAUAUAUAAGAUUAAAGGAAUCUUUCAUGUUCCUAAAUACGAUGUCAUUCAAAGAGACCAUAAAACUCUAAUGAGUUCUUCCAACCAUCUAUUCUUGGCCGCAUCCACUUCCUUCUUCAGCCCUUGGAGAAUUUUCUUAUUGGUGCCCUCGGUUUGACCAUUCGUUUACAAAAUCUUGACUAAACUGUGUCAAAUAAAUGUGAAGAUUCUCACAAAAAUCCUUGAAUUUCCUUUGAAUUUGGGUUUUGUUGUCUGCACAUAAAAUCCCAUACCAGCAAAUGAUGGUCUUUUACACAAUUUUCCAUUUACUUUUCAAUGAUGGUGGCCAAGGCUUCAACUUCCAUCCACUUGGUGAAAUACUCAAUGACUAUCACAAAAUGUUUCUUCUACACAACAAUAGGUGAAAAUGGGCCAACUAUGUCAAUUCCCCAAGUGUUGAACGACCAGAGACUAGAGAUACUUUAGAGAGUUUCGUUGGUUAUCGAGGUGCCGGUGAGAAUUGUUGGCAAGGUUCACAAUUGGCGACAUAUUUCACCAUGUCUUUCUGCAUUAAGGGCCAAUAGUAACCCUACCAUAGGAUUCUUUAAGUGAGAUCCAUUACACCCAGAUAAUGUGCGCAAAUUACUUCAUGGGCUCUCGCCAUUAUAUAAUCAGCUUUGGAAGGUACCAAACACCUAAGAAGUGGUUGGAGAAAUCUCUAAUAGGAUCUCAUCAAUCAAAAUAUAAUGGGAAGCCAACCAUCCUACCAUUUCAUGCUCUUUUGGGUUCCUAAACACCUUUUCUUUUAUUAAGAAUCUCGAAUAGGGGUCAUCCAAGUGUCUUUAAAGUCAACAGUGAAAACUUGCUCUAGUGCUUCAUAACUUGGAUACUCCUUGUGUUCCAACAAGAUUUUCCCCCUUUCCAUGAUGUUGAUGGUGCCUGCUAACUUUAAGAAGGCAUCUGCUCUGGCAUUUUCUGUCAUUAGGGUUAACUUGAAUUUUCAAGAACCACUUAAUUAGAUCCAUAACUAAGUAGUACUUGGCCAGUGUUGGUUUUUUUGUCAACGUACUCUCCUUGAACUUGCUUCGCCACCAGUUGUGAAUUCAUGUGGACAUGGAGAUUCCAGAUGCUUAAUUUACGAGCUAAUUCUAGUCUUACCACCAAGGCUUCAUAUUCAACAAUAUUGUUGGAAGUGGAGAAAGAGAAGGACAAAUUGUACUACUAUUUUUCUCCUUCAAGUCCUACCAAUAGAACUCAAGUUCUAAAGCCCUUUUUUUAAAUGCUGUCUACAUAGAGAAUUUAAGAAUUUUCUUGCAAUGGAUUAGGGUUCACAAAAGGACCUUUUGGGUAUUUGAUGAAGCUCGUCGAGGUUGUUAUUAAAAUCUUUGAAUGGUCGAGAAAAUGAGCACUUAUCUAUGAAGUUAGCUAGAGCUUGGGGCUUGACUUCCUUCCACAAUAGAUAUUCUGGCCUACAUUCACUUAGCUCGACACUUCAUUUGAUCACAUUUCUAAAAGUGUCAACCUUGCCCAGGAUAUCCUUAAGUGGUUGGCCGGAUAAGAUCAUGAUGGGGUGAGCUUGAAAAUAAGGACGGAUUUUUCUUGCAACCAUUACCAAGGCAAAGACAAUCUUUUCUACCUCGAAGUAGUUUAGCUCUUCGUCUUGCAGAACCCUACCGACAUAAUAAAUUGGUUACCGUUGUCCACCAAUUUCCUUAACCAAGUCGCUGCUACUGUUUUGUAGGAUGCAACAAGAUACACAUACAAUAAAUGUAACAACCCGAUUUUUAGUGGUGACGAAACAGUGGUUUUGGGACCACAAAUUUAUGUCGUAUCGACUCGUAAUUAUUAUUUUUAGAAUAUUUAUAGAGUUAUUAGAGUCGUAUUAAAAUUUGGUUUAGAAAUAUUAACGUUUGGAUGCUUAAUUAAAAAAAGGACUAAAUUGAAAAAUGUGAAAAAGUUAGUAAUUAGUUCAAUUAAAUGAUUAAAUGGCUUAUUAAUUACAUGAAGAGGGACCAAUAUAAUAAUUAGUCCCUAAUGGAUAGUGUUGGACGGCAAAAGGAAUUAAAAUGAUAAAUUAAUGUGAUUUUAAUGGCAUAAUUAUAAAUAAAUAAAAAUUAAAUAAACAAAUUAGAAGAAAUAAGUUUUUCUUCUUCAUUUCUUCUUAUGCCAUUGCCGAAACACCAUAGAAGUAGCUUGGAGAAUCGGUUGAGCAUAAAAGCUUGCGUGUGAGUUCAAUUCUUACUUGUUGCUUGUAAUUUUUAUAUUUUUGAGAUCGUUGCAACUAGGUCCAGCUAACUCGUACCUUCGUUUCUAAUUCUGUUAAAAGUUUUGUAAGUUUCCAUUAUUGAAUAUUGGAUUUUUUUAUGAAUAUCAUGUAUUUGGAGUUUUGAUUUUGUUCUUUAAAGAUUUUGUAAAGAGAUUUUUGUUAAAUUUUAAUUUUACGAUUAAAUUGUGUAAAUUAGAAAAAAUAAAAUGGUAUUAAUUGCAAAAUAGAUUGAAAAUGAAAUAUAUGCUAAUAAAUGAGUAACUUUACAUUUUAGAUCAAGAUUUCGUAGAUACUCAUAGAAAAGGAAAAAUAGCGGAAUAGUCCAUAAACUUCUACAACUACUACAAUUUAGUCCAAGUAAGUUCGUACUGUUAAAAUUUAACAUUUAUAUACAUAGGUGAUUGGUAUUACAUAACAUAAUAUAUGUUCCAUUGUUGGAAAUGAAUCAUUAUUUGAGUUAUAAUAUUGAAUUUGAUGCUCGAUUUCAAUUAAACGUAGGAUAGAUACAUUCGUGUUUUGGUGUGUUAUAGGGGUUUAGAGUGGAGGGAGAUAUUUGUAUAUUACCCAAGUAAAAUGAGGUUUAGCAUUUGUUGCGAACUCUCGCGUUAUACUUUCUGUUUGACGUGAUUCGGGUGGAUCAACUCUUAUGAGCUUUUGUUCAGUUUUUAUGAGCUUCUAUUCAGCUCUUAUGAACUUCUGUUGGCGUGUUUCAGAUGACCCAACUCUUAUGAGCUUUUGUUUGGCGUAUUUCAGUUGGAUCAGCUCUUAUGAAUUUCUGUCUGGUGUGUUCGGUCUAUCUGACGAUGUACUCUUACCCGUAAGUCAUUCUUUGAAUGGAAAAUCUCGAUAAGCUAAUUUGUUUAAUGAAUUUGAAAGAUAUGUUACUUAUUCCAUAUUGAUCUGAACAUAGAUGAACUUAUCGAUUAAAAUUGUAAAUAACAGAGAGUUCUCAUGGAUGAUUAUUAUUGUUAGAAUUAUUAUAAUUAUUUCAGUAAGAUUUAUCGUUUAAUACGUCGAACUUACUAAGCUCCAUUAAGCUUACUUGUGCUGUUUAAUGUCAUUGUAGAUUCUCGGAAGGUUAGAUGAUCGGAUCAGUACUCAAGCCACACUAUCCAACUCAUCUCUGUAGUUUUUAGAACGUUUAAUACAGAUUAUAUGGCAUGUAUAAGCUCUUGUGUGGUUUUGGUUAUUGUUUGGCUUAUAUAAAUAUUAUGAAUAAUAUUUUGUGCAGAUAAACAACUUAAAUAUUACAUGAGAAUGGGGUAUAAUUUUUAUGCUAGUAUAAAUGGUUUAUAUAAAUGAAAUGUUGUGAUUGUGGUACAUUUGAUAGGUAUUUUGAUUAGGUAUUGCUUGAAUGAAUCAAUAAAUUGAAUUGAUGUUUAUUUUGAUGUAUAAUUAUAUAUACUUGUGGUACCAAUGAUGGUACAUUGGUUAGGCACUUAUUAGGUUGGUUUUGCUGUGUUUUUAACUCGAUUAAUGUCAUUUUGAAUUUGUAUUUUGGUUGGUAUUUGAGUUUCUUAAGGUCCAAACAAACUUGAAAUGGUAAACUUGUGUUUUAAGGUUCAUUUUGGGGACACACGGCCGUUCAAGGCAUGCAAGUUAGGCAAUUACACGGCCUAGCACACGGCUUGGCACAUGGGUGUGUAAGGCCAUUUCGAAGGUUACACGACCUGGCACACGGGCGUGUGAUUUGGCCGUAUGACCCAAGCCAGUGAGUUACACGGGCAUGGACACGGGCUGAGACACGGCCGUGUGUCCCUAUUUCGAAUGUCCUCACGGCCUGAGAUAUGGGCAUGUGUUUCAGCCGUGUGAUCCCUACAGUCUAAAAUUUUUAACUUUUUCCUAAAAUUUCUAAAUGUUUUUUAUUUAGUCCCGGACUGUUUCUAUAGUAUUUUUAGGGCCUUAAGGGCUCGAUUAAAGGACAUUAUGAAUGUAUUUGAAUGAAACUAGAUUAUGUUUGCAUUGAUGUAUGAAUUGAAUGGUUUACUAUUCUAUUAGUAUGGUAUUGCUUCGUAACCCUGUUUCAAUGACAGAUACGGGUUAGGGGUGUUUCAUUUAGUAGUAUCAGAGCUCCGAUUUCUUCGGUUCUUAGACUGAAUGUAGCAUAUAAAAUUUUUAGAAUUACAUGUCAUAUAAAUUUGUGAUAGUGUGACUUGUUUGAUCCGAUCUAACCUUUAUUUUUCUUAUAGAUUGUAAAGAUGUCAGACGGAUCUGAUCGUGCUGACAAUGAUGAGGUUAACAGUAAUGUACCGUCCUCUGAUCAUGGGACGAGUAGUAAUGUUCUGAUUCUACCGGCUUAGAAACAUGAGCUUAAAAAUAUAUUCUUUGGGUAUAUGAACCAGUGGUUUAGCGAGUUUAUGCAAAUGAAUAAUUUAGCUCAACGACCUCCACCCCUAUUGUACCCCUUGUUAUACCACCUGUUGUACCUCCGGUUGCACUUCCACAUCCUUCUGUGAUUGAACCCAGUAGGCGUAUUCCGGUUAAGAAACUUAGAAAGUGUGGUGCUGAAAAAUUUUGGGGCAGAUUUGAGGAUGAUCUGGUUAAAGUUGAGUAUUGGCUUCAGAAUAUCUUACGGGUUUUUGAAGAAAUGGCUUGCUCUCCUAAUAAUUUCCUUAGAUGUGUUGUUUCAUUAUUAAAGGAAAAAGUGUACAGUUGGUGGUCUACGAUAGUAGCUGUGGCACGUAGAGAGAAAAUUUCCUGAGAACUCUUUCAGACUGAGUUUAAAAAGAAAUAUGUUAAAAAAUGGUAUUUAGAGAAAAACAGAGAGAAUUUCUUGAGUUACAUCAGUGAAAUAAAUCAGUAACUGAAUACGAAAGAGAAUUUGUGUAUCUCAAUAAAUAUGCUCAAGAAAUUGUACCUACUAAAGAAGAUAUAUGUAUCUGGUUUGAAGAUGUCCUGAAUGAUGAAAUCUGAAUGAUGAUCGGAGGUAAUGAAAUUUGAGAAUUUGUUAUCUUAUUUGAUCGUGCACAGAAAAUACAAGAAGUGUACAACCGUAAGAUACAAUGGGAUAGACGGAUUCGAGAAUUUCACAAGAAAGAUUUUUCCAAGUCAUUUUUUGUAUCAUCGGUAAAGAAGACUAAAGAUGAUUUUAACUGAGCUACCUCGGUGUUUGAGCAUCUAAACAAAAAUAAGACGAUUUAGUAUGAUUUUAGAGCACUUACUAAACCAGCUGAUUGUGUGGGUAGUGUACGAAAUGCUUUAAAGUUCAAUUGUAGAUAUUAUGGGUAAUAUCAUCUUGGCGAGUGUAGAGGUAAAUCGGGAGCCUAUCUUAGAUGUGGGUCGACUGAUCAUUUUAUUCAAAAUUGUCCUAAAUCGCUAAAAGAGAAUGAAGAUCAGAAAGAAAAGAAAAUGUCUACCUCUCAGAAAAGUAAACGUUCGGGCCAGAAUAGUGCUACCGGGACUACUCAUAUGGAAAUGAAAGACACUGUCAUUCAAUCAGAAGCUAGAGCACCUGCUCACACCUACGUCAUUCGAGCCAGGGAGGAAGCUACUACUCCAGAUGUGAUUACUGGUAUAUUCUAUCUCUUUGAUGUUACUAUGUAUGCAUUGAUUGACCCUAGGUCAACUGAUUCUUAUAUUUGCACUGCAUUAGUAAUGAAAAAGAAUUACCUGUUGAGUCUACUAAUUAUGAUAUUCAAGUUACUAAUCCCUUAGGUCAGAGUGUGAUAAUUAACUUAGUUUGUCGUAAUUGUCUACUGAAAGUUAAAGGUUGUGAAUUCCUUACCGAUUUAAUGUUGUUACCCUUUCGGGAAUUUAAUGUUAUUCUGGGUAUGGAUUGGCUAUCGUUGCAUAAUGCUAUAGUAAACUGUAGACAGAAAUGGAUUGAUUUGAAAUGUCAAACAAGAGAGAUGAUUUCAGUUAAGCCUAAAAGUCCGAAAGAUGUUAGAAUUAUUUCAACUUUUUUUGCUCAGAGAUUGAUACGAAAAGGUAACGAAACAUUUCUAGUAUAUAUUCCUGAUAACAGAUAUUCAGAAUCGAAGUUAGAUCAGUUACCAGUUGUUAGUGAGUUCGCUAAUGUUUUUCAUAAAGUGUUUCCCAGUAUGCCUCCUGAUCGUGAAGUUAAGUUUGUGAUUGAUUUUGUUCUUAGAACUGUACCGAUAUCAAUAUCACCGUAUCGUAUGGCACCAGCUGAGUUAAAAUAAUUGAAAGCACAGUUGCAAUAGUUAUUAGACUGAGCGUGUUUCCCUGGGUUGCACGUGUGUUGUUUGUGAAAAAGAAAGACGGCUCUUUAAGAUUAUGUAUAGGUUACAAACAAUUGAACAAAGUCACGAUAAAAAAAUAAGUAUCCUUUUUCACAUAUCGACGAUUUGUUUGAUCAAUUGAAAUGUGCCACAGUGUUCUCGAAGAUAUAUCUCAAAAUCGGGUAUUAUCAAUUGAAGGUUAAAGACUGUGAUGUGUCAAAGACUAGUUUUAGAACUCGUUACGGUCAUUAUGAGUUUCUAGUAAUGCCAUUUGGUUUGACUAAUACCCCUGCUGCUUGUAUACAUUUAAUGAAUCAGGUUUUUCAACCUUAUUUGGAUAGAUUUAUUGUUGUAUUUAUUGACGAUAUAUUGAUUUAUUCCAAAAUAGAAUCCAAGCAUGCUCAACAUCUGAGAAUCGUACUACAAUUUGAGAGAAAAAAUAAUUGUACGCAAAAUUUAGUAAAUGUGAAUUCUAGCUUCGCGAGGUUGGAUUUUUGGGUCACAUAGUAUCAACAGACGGGAUCCGAGUUGAUCCAAGUAAAGUUUCUGCUGUGAUGAAUUGGAAGACUCCGAAAAAUGUUUCAGAAGUGCGAAAUUUUCUGGGUUUAGAAGUUACUAUCGACAUUUUGUUAAAAACUUUCGAUUAUUACUUCAUCGAUGACCAGAUUAUUACAGAAAAAUGUUGAGUUUGUUUGGUCCGAUAAGUUACAACAGAGUGUCGAUCAGUUGAAGAAAAUGUUGACGAAAGCCCUAGUGUUGACUCAACCUAAAUCUGGAGUAACGUAUGUUGUUUAUAGUGAUGCGUCUCUCAACGAUUUGAGUUGUGUGCUUAUGCAGGUAGGGAAAAUAGUACCUUAUGCUUCUCGUCAAUUAAAGUCGCAUGAAAAGAAAUUAUCCUACUCAUGAUCUCAAGCUAGCCGUGAUUAUAUUCGCUUUGAAGAUUUGGAGACAUUAUUUAUUCGGCGAGAAAUGUCUCAUGUUUACAGAUCACAAAAGUUAAAGUAUUUGAUUACUAAAAAAGAAUUGAAUUUGAUACAAAGACGAUGGUUAGAAUUACUGAAAGAUUACGAUAUGGUUAUUGAUUAUCAUCCAGAAAAGGCUAAUGUAGUUGCGGAUGCACUUAGUCGAAAGUCGUCAUUGUUUGCACUUCGAGCGUUGAAUGUUCAUUUAGCUUUAAAUGAAUAUGGUUCUAUAUUAGCAGAGUUGAGAAGCAAACCUCUGUUUCUACAAUGAAUUCGAGAAUCGCAAAAUGAAGAUUCGAGGUUGACGAUGAAACUAAAGUUCAUCCUGAAUAAUUUGAGUUCAAAGUACAGUGUUGAUGAUAAUGGUACAUUGCGUUAUCUCGAUAGAAUUUGUGUCCUGAAUAAUCUAGAUUUGAAACAUCAUAUUCUUUCUGAAGCUCACAACAGUACAUACUCUAUUCAUCCAAGUAGCACGAAGAUGUAUUAUAACUUGAAACAAAUGUACUGGUGGUCGGGUAUGAAACGAGAAAUUUGUGAAUUUGUAGCUAAAUGCUUGAUUUGUCAACAGGUGAAAGCAGAACAUCAGGUAUCGUCAGGUUUACUACAACUUGUUAUGAUUCCUGAAUGGAAGUGAAAGCGAGUCACGAUAGGUUUUGUAUUUGGUUUACCUGUAACUUCAAGAAAGAAAGAUUUGAUCUGGGUGAUUGUUGAUAGAUUGACUAAAUCGAUACAUUUUAUUCCAGUCAGAACAGAUUUUACACUCGAGAGAUUAGUGGAACUAUAUGUAUCCGAGAUUGUAAGAUUACACGAAAUUCUGACAUCUAUUAUUUUAGAUCGAGAUUUACAUCGAGAUUUUAGAGCAAACUUCAAGAGGCUCUAGGCACUAAACUUCAUUUCAUCACAACAUUUUAUCCUCAGACUUACGGGUAAUCAGAACGAGUGAUUCAGAUUCUAAAAUAUAUGCUGAGAUGUUGUAUACUUGAAUUUAAAGGUAACUGGAAAAAGUACCUACCGUUAGCUGAAUUUUCUUAUAAUAACAGUUAUCAUUCUAGUAUAAAAAUGGUACCGUUUGAAGCUCUUUAUAGAAGAAAAUGUAAAACACCAUUGUAUAGGUCAAAAUUGAGUGAAUCUAAAAUGGUGAAAAUUGAUUUGAUCUGAGAAAUAGAAGACAAAGUUCAAAUUAUUCGAGAUUGUUUGAAAGCUGCAUCUAACCGUCAGGAAUUGUACGCGGAUCUAAAAAGAAAAAAUCUAGAAUCUGUGAUUGGCAAUCGAGUAUUCCUGAAAGUUUCUCCGUGGAAGAAAGUGCUGCAUUUUGGCAAAAAGGAAAGUUGAGUCCGAGAUUUAUAGAAUCGUACGAGAUUGUUGAAAGAAUCGGCCCUGUAGCUUAUAGAUUAGCUUUACCCUCUGAACUCGAGAAAAUCUAUAAUGUGUUUCAUGUUUCAAUGCUGAGAUGGUACAGAUCUGAUCCUUCACAUGUGAUUUCUCAUAGUGAGAUUGAGCUACAGCCAAACUUGACGUAUUCGAAAGAACUCGUAAGAAUUUUAGCUCAGGAAGUGAUAGGUUUUAUACGAAAUACGUUAUACAUGAAAUUGAAAGAAAAAGAUAUUGUUAUAUGAAAUGUCAUGAUGAGGUAUAAAUUGUAAAAUAAGUAAGUGAUAGGUGAAAUGUAUAAUAACAAUUAUUAAUGGAAUUAUGAAAGAUUAUUAAAUAUUGAGUCAAGUUACAUGUGUUAAUGAAAAAGGAAGAUAUAAUUAUACGAAGUAUUGUUAUAAGGAUUAAAUGGUAAAAAGUGUAAAAGUGACAUGUGUAUAUUAUGACUUGCCUAAGUAGACGAGAUAAAAACUAGUGGAAUAUUAGUGGCAUGCCAUUAAGAAACCUUAGCGCGCUCUCUGAUUAUUAGCAGUUAGUGCUCUCUAAUUAUUUGCACGUCAAUGCUCAUCAAUUAGCACAGCUGUGUUCUCUGUUCAUCCGUUCGGCGGUGUUCUGUUCCGUAUAUCCUGUGUGUUCUAUUAAGUAUACUGAGCCUUUGAAAAAGGUACAAAACUAUUUUAGUGAUUAUUGAAUUAUAUAGAUUAUAUGUGUUGAAAAGUUUUGAAAUUGAGAAAAAAAUAUGGUUGAAAUAAGUAAAGUAAAUUAUUAGAAAUUUUAGCUAAAUAGAGUAAAUGAUAAUUUAAAGCAAAUCAUGUGAUUCUAGUAUUAUAUAGAUGUUAAUUAAAUCAAAAUGUUUAGUUGGUGUUUAAUGAGUAAAUAAUAAAUGUGGACCUAAUUGUAAGAAUAAGAGAAUUGAUUGGUAAAUUAUGUAUGAUGAAUACAAACAAGUCAUUUAAAUGUUUCUAUGUAGUAAAAAUAAAUAAGUUAUCAUUUAUAAUAUAGAUUAUAAUCUAAAUAUUUGUUGUACUUACUAAGCUAGAAAUAGCUUAACGCGUAGGUUAAAAGUAGAGGAAAAAGAUUUUUGAAGAUUGAAGACACCUCAUCUCAUCACAUCAGUGGAUCCGAGAAAGAGCUAAGGUAUUAAUUUCUGCCAUUUCAGUAAAUGGCAUGUACCUAGGUGUGUGUAUUAAGGUUGUAUGUGAUGCGACUUAAAUAUUUACUUAAUUCAUAUGAAAUAGUUUAAAUGUCAAUUAAGUGAUAUAACAAAAUUAGAUUUUAGACUACUUAAUUACGAUUUAUAUUUGAAUUAAAUUGGCUUAAAAUUUGAUAUGUGAACAAGGGUUAAACUAGGUAAACUUUAGGAAUUAAUUUGGCAAAUUAUCCCUUAAAUUUCAAAUUUAAACAUGAUUACUGAAAUCCACACAGUCACGUUCCCUAUUUUUCACAAUGGCCCUUCUUUCACUUUAGUAUAUUGUUUUAAAUGUAAGAAUGGUAAAAAAAAUUAUUUCGGCUUAUCUCGAAUAUCAAUAAUUAAUAUACUAGAACAACGAAACUAAUAUGUACAAAUUAUAAUGUUAUUUUUAUUUAGAAAUUAUUAUUAGAGUUUCUGAAAACCAAUGUAACACUUCUAUACUUGAUCCGGUAAUCAGGUUGGGUAUAGGGGUGUUACAUCUUAUGAGCUUAUGUUGGCGUGUUUCGAGUGGACCAACUCUUAUGAGCUUUUGUUUGGCAUAUUUCAGUUGGAUUAGCUCUUAUGAGUUUCUGUCUGGUGUAUUCGGUCUAUCUGAUGAUGUACUCUUACCCGUAAGUUGUUCUUCGAAUGGAAAAUCUUGGUAAGGUAAUAUGUUUAAUGAAUUUGAAAGAUAUGUUACUUAUUCCACAUUGAUCUGAAUUGAUGAACUUAUCGAUUGAAAUUAUGAAUGACAGGGAGUUCUCAUGGAUGAUUAUUAUUGUUAGAAUUAUUAUAAUUAGUUCAGUAAGAUCUAUCGAUUAAUAUGUCGAACUUACUAAGCUCCAUUAAGCUUACUUGUGUUGUUUAAUGUCAUUGUAGAUUCUUGAAAGAUUGGACGAUCGGAUCGAUACUCAAGUCACACUAUCUAACUCAUCUCAAUAGUUUUUGGAACGUUUAAUACAAAUUAUAUGGCAUGUAUAGGCUAUUGUGUGGUUUUGGUUAUUGUUUGGCUUAUGUAAAUAUUAUGAAAAUAUUUUGUGCAGAUAAACAACUUAAAUAUUACAUGAGAGUGAGGUAUAAUUUUUAUGCUAGUAUGAAUGGUAUAUAUAAAUGAAAUGUUGUGAUUGUGGUACCUUUGAUAGGUAUUUUGAUUAGUUAUUGCUUGAAUGAAUCAUUGAAUUGAAUUGAUGUUUAUUUUGAUGUAUAAUUAUAUAUACUUGUGGUACCAAUGAUGGUACAUUGGUUAGGCACUUAUUAGGUUGGUUUUGUUGUGUUUUUGGCUCAAUUAAUGUCAUUUUGAAUUGGUAUUUUGUUGGUAUUUAAGUUUCUUAAGGUCCAAGCAAACUUGAAACGGUAAACUUGUAUUUUAAGGUCCAUUUUGGGGCCACACGGCCUGAGACACGAGUGUGUGUCUCAACUAUGUGUGACACACGGCCAUGCGACACGGCCGUGUAUCCCCUGCAGGUUCAAGGCAUGCAAGUCAGACAGUUACACGGCCUAGCACACGGGCGUGUGGGGCCAUUUCGAGAGUUACAUGGCCUAGCACACGGGCAUGUAGCUUAGUCGUGUGACCCAAGUUAGCGAGUUACAUGAGCAUGGACAUGAUCGUGUGUCCCUAUUUCGAAUGUCCAUGUGGCCUGAGACACGGACGUUUGUCUCAAUCGUGUGACCCCUACAGUCUAAAUUUUUCAACUUUUUUUCUAAGAUUUUCAAAUGCUUUUGAUUUAGUCCUGAACUAUUUCUAUAGUAUUUUUAGGACCCCGAGGGCUCAAUUAAGGGACAUUAUGAAUGUAUUUGAAGUAAUUAGAUUAUGUUUGCAUUGAUGUAUGAAUUGAAUGGUUUACUAUUUCGUUGGUCCGGUAUUACUCUGUAAUCCUGUUCCGAUGACAGAUACGGGUUAGGGGUGUUUCAAUAAAUCACCUAGUAAAAGAGACACUAGAAGUGGAAGGGUGCUCAAGUACUGCUUUAACUUCUCAAAAGAUUGUUGACACAUUUGUAUCCACUAAAAGGGACAUUUUAACAGUUUGAAGAAUGGUAGGCAUUUGUCAAUAAUCUAAGUGAUGAGUCAUCGUCAUAUGAUUAUUUUGGACUAUAUCUUACUUAUGUUUGUUUGGUUUCCUGAGCAUUUUUAUAUGUUUUAAAUUCAUUUUAAUGAUUUGACCUCUUUAUUUGUAUUGUAAAUAUUGUGUAUUUUUAGUUUUUUUAUGCAUUUAGUUUCAAUAAAAUAUUUCAUGUGAAAUUUGCAGGUAAAACAAAUUUGGGAAGAAGAUUUCAAUAUAUGAAACCAUGAGAUUAAAUGCAUUAAGCCUAAAUUUGAUCCAAGAUAAUGAGUAAAAGUUAAAAGCUCAAAAGAUUAAAAAUUUGUAAUUUGAACACUUUCAGAACUUUCAGUCGAAACACUUCCUAGUGUUUCGAUCAUGUCUCGAGCUUUAGGACUCUAUUUUAGGUGUACCUUAUAUCGUCGAAAAGGGGAUUUGAAGAUCCAUUCAAAUAUUGAAACACCAACGCCAAAAUGCAUCAGGAAGAAAUUCAAAAGUAGAGAUAAAUUUACAAGUUUCACAUUAAUGGACAAUUUUGAUGCAUUUUCGUGUUUGGCUCAUAUCUCCUAACAUAAUUAGAGUUUGGAGUUGAAAUUUUUACAUCAUAUAGACCAUCAAUCAACUCUCUUGGACCUUUCCUAUUGAGAGCUGUUAACUUGGACCAAAUGAGUCAUCUUUUAACAUGUAAAAAAUGCCUCAAAAGAUGACAAAGAAGUAGGCCUAAAAAUUUAUUAUUAGCAUAUCCUUUGUAUUGUCAUUUUUCUCUUCACAAAUUUCUAUAAAUAGUCUUUGGUUUUAGCAUAGUAGACAUCUUAAAGUUGAGUUGAAGAUCAUUUGCUUGUUAAGUUUUUGUUUGUUUCAUUAUUCAUGUAAAAUCUCAAGUUUCUUAUAUCUAAUAUGUAUAUUUCAUCUAAGUUUGAGUUUUUUUACUUUUGCUAUGUAAUUCUAAGUUUUCAAUGCUGAGGUGAAAGGGUGAAACUCUUGGGAAAUAUUAAAGUAAAUUCCAUACUCAUCAUUUGAGCUAAAAUUAAUUAUCAAUCACUUGUUAUAAUCAUACUUGAAAAGUAAGAUAUUUUAUUUGUUAUAGACAAUAUAUAGCACAAUGAAUGCUUGGAUAAAUUAACCUUGAUUUGUUGUAGACAUAAAAAUUGGCAAAAUAUAUAUUUGAAAUCUUUUUAUAAGUCUUGAAGUUAUCAAGUGAUUAUAAUACCAUAUGGUUGAACUUUCAUAUUGCACCAUCAUCUGCUUAUGGAUUCUUUUGUUAAACUUUUAGACUUAUUGGACAAUCAUUUUGGACACUUCAUUGAUGGACAUACAUUUGCUCAUGGAUUCAUAUGCUUAAUUAGCGGACGUACAUUACUAGAUCAUCGAUUGUGACCUCCAUUUAUGUAUGGAUUUUAAUUGAGUAAUAGUAUUAAGCAUUAAAAUUUAAUCUUAAUACGACACUAAGAGUUGAUCCCAACACCAAGAGUUGAUCCUCUAACCUCAGCAUAUUUGGUGUUGACUUUUUAUUUCUAGUGUUUCUAGCUACUACUUCCAUUAUCAAUGCUUAUUCCAAAGUUAAGUGUUAAAUUUCUAUUCUAACAUAAUAUUUAUAAUCUUGUAAGUUCUAAUCAACUUCUCUUUCAAUCGACCUCAGACUCCCAAGAUUUUAUUACUUGAAUAUAACCUGGACUUAGGUUGUAGACCUAGAAAGUCACUAUGACUAAGGGAUACAAUCUGUCCAGUUAACCGUUGAAUUUCCUUGGGCUUCUACGGAGGAGUCAUUUCCAAGAUGGCCUUAUUUCUUUUUGGAUUCACUUCAAUCCCACUCUCAGAUAUCAUGAAACCCAUGAAUUUCUUGGCACUUGCUCCGAAAAUAUAGUUAUUCGAAUUGAACUUCAUGUUGCAUUUGUGUAGCACCGUAAAUACUUCUCAAAGGUUAUUGACAUGUUCCAUGGUGGCACUUUUGACAAUUAUGUCAUUUGAGUACGAUUUCAUACAUCUCCCUAUUUGUUUCUAAAAUAGAUUACUCACCAACUGUCGAUAGGUAGCUCUUGUAUUUUUUAGACUGAAAGGCAUCAUCCUGUAACAAUACACAUUUUCAAUAACGAAAGAUAUCUUCUCUUGGUUUUCUUUAGCUCUAAAUAUCUUAUUGUAGCUUGAAAAAACAUCUAUGAAGCUCAUAUAUUGGUGGCCUGCAAAAGCAUCCUCCUAUAGAUCUUUGAAAGGGAGCAAAAAGUUAUCUUUUGGCAAUCCUUAUUCAAGUUGGUGAAAUCUACACCCGUUUUCCAUUUGUUUUCGGAUUUGGGCACCAUUACCACAUUGGAGACUCAAUAAGGGCAUAGGACCUAUUGCAGUUACAACCUUCUCAACGAAGAAUUUGCUAUUCUUUUUAUUUACUAGUUGUGCACCGGGAUCCACCCCUAGGGAAUGUUGAAUGACAAACGAGUGAAUUCCUGGCUUGUUUGUCGCAGACCAGGCAAAGACAUUUUGACAUUCCGUCAACAAGGAAUUUCAAAAGAUUUUUUUCUCUUCAAAGGGAAGGAUGGAAACAAUCUAGGUAACCUUCUCAAGGUCUUCCCGAUACAAUUAGAUGGAUUCCAUUGUUUAUGUUGGUUGUGCCUUGGGAAGUUGGGUCUCUAGUCUAGCUUCAAGGCUUUCCAAAUCAAUUACCAUCCUUCUAAUGAUAUUGGCCCCCAUCAAAGGAUGAAAAUGCAAUGUGAAACAAGCUGGAGAAAGGUGAGAAGGGUUGAUAUUUCCCUGUGAGUUGUAGAGAGACAAUGUGACACUCACAGGCCGUCUUCUAGUUGAUUUUUAUAUAUCCCUCACCCGUGAGGGUAGAGAACUUGGCUUUCAUAAAUAAGGUGGCUAUCACCACUUUAGUCAUCCUCAUAAUUGACCUUCUAAAAAUGGCAUUUUAGGCCAUCGAAUGGUCAACUACUAAAAAUUCCACCAUUUCAGUAGUGGUGUGCUCACUAAGGGCUAUAAAGAGCAAUAGACCCUUUGACAACAACAGGUUUAUUCACAAGACAAACUGGACUUGCCAAUUUGAGUCGUGUCCUUAAGGCCCAUCAAAUAGAACGCUUUGGCGAAGGGUUACCUUGUCGGGGGAAGGUGUAAAAAAAACCACGAACUUUCUCAACUUCAUCUCCCUCCAAUCCUCUCAUAUAGGUUGAGAAGUUUGCUCAGAGUGUUCCAGAUAAUGAUAUACCUCAAAUGAUGAUAAGUAGUUCCCGCAAUGAAAGCUUGAAUGGCCCAUUCAUCAAUGGUUCCCCUUCAUGAUCAUGGUGGCUGUAUUGAAUCAACGGAUGUAAUACAAAGGGACUCACCCACUCUUUAACGAAUGAUCAUUAAGUAGGCUAGGGAUUACUGGAGUGUUUUAUUGGACAAGAAAUGACUCAUGAGUUGUCCAGCUAAUUGGUCAAAGGUAUAAAUAAACCCUCGUGAUAGUGGCAGGUAUCACUAUCGAGUUGUCUAAGAGAGGGUCAUAGAGAAUACCUUGCACUUAAUUCCAUCGGAGGCUAUUAAUAUAUUCAUGUGGUUGUAAUACCGAGCCAGAUGAUCUUCUGAAUCCCCCCGACCUGUUAUAUACAAAAUUUAGGAACUUGAAGAAGGUUGAAAUAUUGUUUGCUAGUACUUUUAGGACAAGUGACCCGUUGGAGAAGUUUCAAACAGAUUCAUCUAUUUUAACCCCCUUUCAUUUUCUAACAUCAUCUUAGCCUUGAAAAUCCUUAGUUGUUCUUCUUGAUAGUCAUUAUUGUUACUUUGAGAAUGUUAGAAUGCUACCAAGAAGCUACCAUCGUCUCUGUGAAGGUUGUUAAGGUCGUUAUAUUCACGAUUUCCUCAGAUGGUUGACUUAACCUUAUCUUUCUAGCAAACUGGAGUCUCUCUUCUAGGCCUUCCCACGUAGGUCUCAAUUCGACAAUCUACUACUUUUGUUGUUAUUUGAAGUAGUGUUCUUGAUUGGAAAAGUACUACUCUAGUCGUUGUAGCUUCUCUUAGGUUCUUAAAUCAUGAGACGAGAGCCUUAAGGCUUGUUGAUAAGAACCUUGGACUAACAAGGUGAAUGUUAUCUGCUCUAUAAGUCCAAGAAAAUAUGCAUUAGGUGAUGGUUGAUGCUUUGCGAUGGCUGAGGGAUUUGAAGCUGCUAGAGGGAUGGGGUUAACUGAUACAGUCGAGAUAGUUAGGUUGAAGCUCAAGGGUAUGUUUAAAGCUUUCAUGAACUACUCUAGAGUAGGGAGAAAGGCAUAUGCAUAUUGUAACGAUGGUCCUACAAGAGAAGAAGAAAAAGGGAUUUGAGUAAAACUCAAACUAGAGGAAGAUCAUGAGCUGUGUUUGAUGCAGGUGUUAGUUGGAGUGAUUAGUCAAGUUGGCCAAAUCAACUAUGGUUUGCAAAGUCUUGUUGUCCACAUUUAUCGCACCAAUUGUUGAUACAGUGAUACAAUGAGGUACAAAAGAGAAUGCAAUGAUGAUUAUGGAGGUCAGUUCAUCUAGCUGGGGCAAAAAGCCGAAGGCUACAAAGAGUAAAAGUAAAGAGGGUGUAAAAACUAAAUGUUGAAGAAAAGUUUAUAAGAGUAUAAGCUUGCAUGCUUGGAGAGUUGAUCGUUUGUUCAGCAUUUGUGUAGGUAUUUAUAGGCAAUGAUCUCUUUUAACUACUAAAUUGACAAAAGUUAACAAUGUUGUAAAUAAAUUUCAAUAUUUACGUACAUGGUAAAUGCAACUAUAUUUCACGAUCCCCCCCCCCCCCUUUUUACUUGUUCUACCAGGGUUGAAAAAUGUAGAGUUAUUAGAUGUUCAUAUAUUUUUUUAUUAAUUUCAUAAUCAUAAAAUGACAUUAUCAUAGUAAAAAAAGUUCCGUUUACAACUUUCGUGACAGUUUCCUAGUUUUUCUUACUCCUAAGUUUUAACAUAUCAUUUGUAUAAGCUCUAAGCCUCUACCUAAAUUCUCACAGCAAGGUCCAACACCUAUGUUCCGUUAAAUCUUGCAAUUAAGUGAUAUUCAGCCAUUCAAAUCUGAUACAAAACAAAAUGAACAUUAAAAGAAUUUUGCAGUGAAAGCUGCAGAUUCAGACACGUUCAAUUCAGUUUCAGUAGAGGUCUUGGUAUGCUCAGCAGCAUCAGUUGAUUUUCACCAUCACCUAUAAUAGCUGAACCUACCGAUUAAGCAAUGAGAUUACCACAUCGAAUUCAGGGUUUAGUUUAUUUAUAUUUAAAUUCAACACCUGCAAUCAGUUCUUGUGCGAACUAAUCCCUAUACCUAUAGGUUAAAUUAAAGAACAAAUUGAUCGUUUCUGUAAAAAUUGUCAAUUUAUACAUUUAAAAACUAAUUGCUGACAAAAUAACCAAACAACUACAAGUGAUGUGCUAUGUGUACCUCAUUCUAACGUACAAGGACCAAUUUUUAACAAUAAAAAUUAAUAGUGCAAGGGUCUCCAUGGUACUUUUACCAUUCUUUUAUGGCCUAACUAUAACCUCCACUGAAAAAUAUUUAUGUAACAGUAGUAAAAACAGUAUGUGUUCAAAAUAAAGCAUUGAAUCAAACUACAGUCGUGCCAACAGUUACAUUGGUUCAAUAUUAUUCAAGCAAAAACAGAAAAUAAUAAAGACUAGGUUUAUUUUAGUUACUAGAAAAGAACCGGGUUAAGCUAUAGAUCGAAUAAUACGGUAAUAGCAGCAAUAAGAGUUUAGAUUAAAUAGCUCCAUCAAAAUUGUUACAUACAAAACACAUUAAAACGCAAUACAAAAUAAUGCAACAAAGACAUUAUGCACCUCAUCAUUUACGGCAUACGUAUGCAUUCUCUGCCUCAGCCACUUUGAAUCUGUCUUCCCCGAAACUUGGAAUAAAAAUGAAGAAAGAAUUUACAUAUAGCACUUUUUCCCAGGAAAAAGAAUAUAUACACCAGUGACAUUCAGAACCUGCCACCAAAUCAAUUGCUUGUAUAACAUUCUAACUAGUUAUGUUACUCUACCCAUUCAUUUUUCUUUAAGUACCUAUGUCUGAUGCAUAACCAGACAUGGGUACGAGGAUACGGCACUUGAAGAAAUUGAACAUAUCCAUGUCGGACAUAUACCCAAGUCUGAGUAACAUAGCUAGCAGUCUAACCAUAUAUCAAACGAACAUCCACAAUACUAUUACAGAGAUUAAGCAAUAACUUACUAGUGUGUUUCAAGCAACACAAUGAAUUCCUUUAUUCCCUCAAGUCACAACCAACCAUUAUAAAAGAAUUAAGCUCUUACCUUAUAUUUGAGGUCUUUGUGCAAGACAAAAUCCAAGAACCUACAUAAUGUAGAAAGACACCAAUACAUAGUCCUUUCACAUGAUUAUAUUGUCCUUUAAUUAAGUAAUCCAUUGGUAGCAUAAACUAGCAUUUUUUUUUUACCCUAAAACAAUGCCAUGUCUCAGAAAACACUAUUGAGGAGUUGAACCCUAAAGGUUGAUGACUAGAUGCCAUAUUGUAUCCCCUCUAUCCAUCGAACACUGUUAGGCAUGGAUGGAAGAUAGAGAGAAUGAAAAAAGGCGAGGAAAAAGGGGGGAAGAAGGUUCUUUAUCCUUUCUGAUGUUUAACAUAGAGCAUGGAAAAUAAACAUAACAGUCAAUUUAAAUAGAAAGAAUCCACUUAUUUAACUUGCUCAUAUUUUCCUCUUACCAAACGAAGGGAUGCAAAGAAAAGCUACAUUCUUCCACCUCUUUCCUUCCUUUUUCCCUCCUACGCAACAUAGUUUAACAUGUUGUAGACUUCUUCUAUAAGUCUCAGGCGAUCAGUUAGGUGGAUACCAAUGGACUUCUUGAUUAAGGGUGUCAUUACAAAGACUCAAGGACCAUUUAAGCUGAUUUAGAUGCUAAUAAAAUAAAAAGAAAAUGUCUGUAUUCCAGAUUAUGUCUUCACAGCUACAUUUUAGGGUAAACCGGGUAAGCUAAGGAUAAAAUUCCAUCAUAAAUUGAGACAACCGAUGAAAUUAAGAAAAUGCAGAAGACAAAUGUCAGAUAAUAAACCCAGCACUCUCAGUACAGCUGACAGUGGAUGGAAGAAGGUACAAGGUUUAGAACCCCUAAACAAAUGCAAACUACAAAGAGAAAAAGACGCAAAAAAAGGAAAUAAAAGGCAGCAACAAGCAUGACGGCUAGCUAGGUUCUUGGGAGCACACAUAACAGAGCUUGGUGUUUUUGGUGGCAUGGAAAUGGCAAAUUUCAAAGAGAAAAAUAAAAUCUCCACGUAUAUUUGGUCCUUCUAGGUAGUAGCAUCAGGGUGGGCCAUGAGUAACCCUGGUUCAUCUGGUCUCCAGGUUUAAGCAGGCUUCAUCAAAGUAGGCAGUAGGCUAGAUUCAGGCUUCAUAAGUCUCAGCUGUUUUAGUGGGAUCGGAAAGGCAACAAAGGGAAAACAAGAGCAUCAGAUACGUAAAUAGGGAGAUCGGAUAGGCUAUGUUAUCAAACUGUAUACACGUAACAAAAUGAAUAGACAUAAGAAUACCAAAAUGAAAACUACAAUCUAUCUGCACGUACCAAUCAUGGAAUUUUAGUAACCAUAGUUUUAGCGCCGGGAAACAGAGGUAUGGCUUGAUAACCUGGUAAGAGAAGUUAAUGAUGAAUACUGAAGAAUCCUAAGAGAGUGUGUAUGUACUAACCUAAGGAAACUAAAAGACUCAAAGAAAUGCUUGGGAAAGAGCAAAUUGUAGACUGGCAUUGUACCCUCGAAUACAACUUUAUGUGAUGUAGUUCAAAUAUUUAAAUAUAAUGUUUAUGAUAGUGCAAUUACUCCAUCAGCCCCAAGCACUUUUCCUGCAUUAAAUGAUACUAAUGGCAGUCAUGUGAACAACAAGAAAUAUGU
rnacentral:lncRNA from 1 species